CAACGCUGGCGGCAGGCCUAACACAUGCAAGUCGAGCGGCAGCACGGGGAGCUUGCUCCCUGGUGGCGAGCGGCGGACGGGUGAGUAAUGCAUGGGAAUCUGCCCGGUAGAGGGGGAUAACGUGUGGAAACGCACGCUAAUACCGCAUACGUCCUACGGGAGAAAGGAGGGGAUCUUCGGACCUUCCGCUAUCGGAUGAGCCCAUGUCGGAUUAGCUAGUUGGUAGGGUAAAGGCCUACCAAGGCAACGAUCCGUAGCUGGUCUGAGAGGAUGAUCAGCCACACUGGGACUGAGACACGGCCCAGACUCCUACGGGAGG
rnacentral:rRNA from 1 species